UGCCUAGUAGACCAAACCGUAUCUACAUAUGCAUAUAUACACACAUGUACAUAUAUACCUUCAUACGUACAUGCAUACAUGCAUACAUACAUGCACAUACACAUGAUAAUCUACUUUGCAUUACAGUCUUCAAAUGUGGUUUCUAUGGCCCACAUGUAGCGAACAUAGAGCAAUAAAUAACAUAGUUCAAGCUUGGAUUCUAUCAAAAUAGCCCUUAAGUGGAUGAUAUCAAGGUCAUUUUAUAUAUUAUUGGCUCUCCUGGAUAUUAGUUGUUAAUUUUGUUUUCUUUGCUUCCAGGAACAGUACCUAAUCUUUUUAAGUGAAGUAAGCAUUAAAUGUAUAGGGCCACUGAGUUCAAGGAGAAAAACAUAGAUAUUUUCUAGAUGAAUUACACUAACAAAAUCGUAACUACUGGAUGUGACCUAAUAUUUUUGUUGAACAGUUAAAAUUAAUACAUUUUAUAUACACAGUCAUACUUUUUUUUUUUUGCAAUGUGUUUUGCUAGUGUAAGCACACAGUCAUUGUAAACAGAGCCAGUACUUUGUCAGACUGGUUUUUGUGGGCCAAAAUAUUUAAUUAUGAGCUUAAUAUACGUAAAUGAUUUUAAUUGCUAUUGGGCACAGGAGACCUAAAAACGUUUUAUUGACAUGAUCUUAAAAUUUGUUUAUUCAGAAUGCUUUUAUGAAUAUUUUGCAUUUAAAAAUUUAUUUUAGUCUUUCUGAAUUAGAAGUUUGAUCCCAUUUGAAGAGGAUCCCGCUCUGUGGGAUAUAUAGCCUAUGAAGAACCAGUAGUAAAAUAAUGUAUGUAUUGAACCCCAGGAUAGGAUAGUCUGUUUUGGUCAUUUAUACCUGGCUUUUCUCUAAUCGCUGAGAUUAACCUACAUAGUAGUACAAAAUGCAGUAUAUUUUACUGCCAGCCUUCUCUAUGGGGAUCUAGACUAGUGCUUCUCAAACUUUAAUGUGCAUAUAUUAAAUCAGCUGGCACUAUAUUAAAAUGCAGAUUCUGAUAUAGUAGCUCUGGGGUGGAGCCUGGGAUUCUUAGUUUCUAACAAGCUCAGGUGAUUAUCAAUACUCCUAGUCCCAAGACCACAAGUAAAAGAGCUGGACUAUAUCAGCUUUUGUAUCUUCCCUGUUUUGAAGAACGAGACAACUGUCCUAAUCCCUUCUGUGGGUCAGGCACUCACUUUCAUUAACUCACUUAAUCCUACAAAUCCUAUGAGGUAAGAUGGUGAUAGAGAGGUUAAAUGACCUGCUGACGCCCAUGCGCACAAGUAGUACAGUAUUAAGCCAUGUUUUUCAAACUUAAAUAAUGCACAUCCCCUUUUAAUAAAGAAAGGCUCUCUUAGUUCCUCACUUUUUACUCCAUUAUUUAUGUAACCUAAGUAUAUGUGAACAUAAAGCUACAUAUAAUGUUUUAUGUUUAUAGCUCUUGCACAAGUAUAAAACCCAAAGAAGUUUAUAGAUAGACAUGAGCAAAACUAUAAAACCAAUAAAAUUUAAAAUAACAUUAGUGAAAUAUGAUGGAUAAUGACAUUUCACCGAAACAAAACUGUCAGUUGUAACAUGAUCGUGUGUGGAGUGCUGUCUCACAGGUUCUUUUGAGUUCUGCGUACAUCUGCCAGGUGCUGUGUGUGCCACAAGGUGACUCCGUUCUCCCACUGCGUUUCUCAGUUCAGACUCUUUACUGUCAUUGUAGUACACAGCGAUGUUAUCUGGUCUUCAUCUAUCUUCACUGCAUCAUUUCCCCAUUUAGUCAGUCUCUGUUCUCCAUACGCCUCCUCCAACUAAACCAGAACCUGGCUCUGCUGUGCAGGCAAACACAAAUGCACACCUAGGCACUGAAAUGUCCUGGCGAAAUUUGAUCUUAAGGCAGUUAUAUUAAAAAAUCAAUAAUCAGAACAUGAAUAUUAACUGUUUUUAUACAUUUUUCAUCAGCGUGAAAAAUGUCUAAUUCUCAUAGAAAAUUCCUGGAUCCCCCACCAAACACACCCACAUGCUCACACACUCAAAUUCCCUCCGCCUUUCCCACACACACAAGAAUUUUUAAUGAUGGUUAGCAUUGAUGCUUUGGCUCCUGACACACCUCGGUUCAGGCCUUGGGCAUGUUUCUCAGCCUUUUCUGAACCUAAGGGUUUUUGUGUGUUAAACAGGGAUAAUCUCGUUGAAUGUAAGAGAAAUAAAUGCGGUAAGACUCAUAAAGCAUGUGUGGCAAGUGUUUAUAAAAGGCAGCUACCAUUGCUUUGAUUAGAGGACUUACCAUGUGCCUUCAGCUUUACUAAGCACUUUACAUAUCUUAUAUAUUGAGUGAUAGAAUCAGGAUUCAAAUCCAAGCCUGACUUCAAAGCUCAUACUCAUAAAAAAUAAUAUAAAACAUCAGUGUAAGUUGCUUAUUUAAAAAGUUAUUUAACAUUAAAUUGUAUUUUCUCAAAAAUUCUUAAUAUAAAAUUGAUGUUUCUCUGGAGGGAAAAUGGCUAAGGUUUUUUUAAACAGUUGUGUAAUAUGAUAAGAAAUUGACAAAGGUAAAUGCAAUUUUUUUUUAAAGAUUGUCUUGCUAGGUUGUGGUCCAGUAAAAGGGUAUUAGGCUCAUUAGGCUCAACUUGUGCAUUACCGUUCUCUUGCACAUUUAUCAUCUGUAACUAAUGAUAACAUGAGAUUCUUCCUGAAUUCAUAGCUUUUUUGCAGGAAAAAAUAUUCCCCCCCACACCAUUAUAUUCGUUAAUAGUUCUGAGAAAUAGUCUGCAGACAUCUUAAUUUUCACCUGUGAAACCUAUUUAAAAAUUGUUCUUCCUUUAAAAUAGCUUUGAAUAAGUCCUCUCUUUUCUCAGUUUUCUAAAAUAAGUUUUGGAGUUCUGAAAAAUGAACAAGCAUAUUUAUAGGCUGGGUUUUUUACUCUUCUGCGUUUUUUUCUAAUUGGGUGCUGGGG